rnacentral:rRNA from 1 species
CCCUUAGAUGUUCUGGGCCGCACACGCGCUACACUGAAGGAGGCAGCGUGUACUCCUGGAUCGAAAGAUUUGGGUAACCCGCGAAUCUCCUUCGUGCUAGGGAUUGAGGUUUGCAAUUAUCCUUCAUGAACGAGGAAUUCCCAGUAAGUGCAAGUCAUAAGCUUGCGCUGACUACGUCCCUGCCCUUUGUACACACCGCCCGUCGCUACUACCGAUUGAAUGAUUUAGUGAGGACUUCGGACUGGGACCGAGGCGGCUUUCGGGCUGCGUCGGUAUUCUGGAAAGAUGUCCAAACUGUAUCAUUUAGAGGAAGUAAAAGUCGUANCA